AGAGUUUGAUCCUGGCUCAGGACGAACGCUGGCGGCGUGCCUAAUACAUGCAAGUCGUACGCUUCUUUUUCCACCGGAGCUUGCUCCACCGGAAAAAGAGGAGUGGCGAACGGGUGAGUAACACGUGGGUAACCUGCCCAUCAGAAGGGGAUAACACUUGGAAACAGGUGCUAAUACCGUAUAACAAUCGAAACCGCAUGGUUUUGAUUUGAAAGGCGCUUUCGGGUGUCGCUGAUGGAUGGACCCGCGGUGCAUUAGCUAGUUGGUGAGGUAACGGCUCACCAAGGCCACGAUGCAUAGCCGACCUGAGAGGGUGAUCGGCCACAUUGGGACUGAGACACGGCCCAAACUCCUACGGGAGGCAGCAGUAGGGAAUCUUCGGCAAUGGACGAAAGUCUGACCGAGCAACGCCGCGUGAGUGAAGAAGGUUUUCGGAUCGUAAAACUCUGUUGUUAGAGAAGAAUAAGGAUGAGAGUAACUGUUCAUCCCUUGACGGUAUCUAACCAGAAAGCCACGGCUAACUACGUGCCAGCAGCCGCGGUAAUACGUAGGUGGCAAGCGUUGUCCGGAUUUAUUGGGCGUAAAGCGAGCGCAGGCGGUUUCUUAAGUCUGAUGUGAAAGCCCCCGGCUCAACCGGGGAGGGUCAUUGGAAACUGGGAGACUUGAGUGCAGAAGAGGAGAGUGGAAUUCCAUGUGUAGCGGUGAAAUGCGUAGAUAUAUGGAGGAACACCAGUGGCGAAGGCGGCUCUCUGGUCUGUAACUGACGCUGAGGCUCGAAAGCGUGGGGAGCAAACAGGAUUAGAUACCCUGGUAGUCCACGCCGUAAACGAUGAGUGCUAAGUGUUGGAGGGUUUCCGCCCUUCAGUGCUGCAGCUAACGCAUUAAGCACUCCGCCUGGGGAGUACGACCGCAAGGUUGAAACUCAAAGGAAUUGACGGGGGCCCGCACAAGCGGUGGAGCAUGUGGUUUAAUUCGAAGCAACGCGAAGAACCUUACCAGGUCUUGACAUCCUUUGACCACUCUAGAGAUAGAGCUUCCCCUUCGGGGGCAAAGUGACAGGUGGUGCAUGGUUGUCGUCAGCUCGUGUCGUGAGAUGUUGGGUUAA
rnacentral:rRNA from 1 species